rnacentral:rRNA from 1 species
GACGUAGGGCGCGAGCGUUGUCCGGAUUUAUUGGGCGUAAAGCGCACGUAGGCGGCUUAGCAAGUCGGAUGUGAAAUCCCUCGGCUCAACCAAGGAAGUGCAUCCGAAACUGCUGAGCUUGAGUACGAAAGAGGAUCGCGGAAUUCCCGGUGUAGAGGUGAAAUUCGUAGAUAUCGGGAGGAACACCAGUGGCGAAGGCGGCGAUCUGGGUCGAUACUGACGCUGAGGUGCGAAAGCGUGGGGAGCAAACAGG